rnacentral:rRNA from 1 species
UACGAAGGGGGCUAGCGUUGUUCGGAAUUACUGGGCGUAAAGGGCGCGUAGGCGGUGUGUCAAGUCAGGCGUGAAAGCCCCGGGCUCAACCUGGGAACAGCGCUUGAGACUGGCACGCUCGAGUUCGGGAGAGGAUGGUGGAAUUCCCAGUGUAGAGGUGAAAUUCGUAGAUAUUGGGAAGAACACCGAUGGCGAAGGCAGGUCUCUGGGCAUUAACUGACGCUGAGGAGCGAAAGCAUGGGGAGCGAACAGG